CACGUAGGGUGCGAGCGUUGUCCGGAAUUAUUGGGCGUAAAGAGCUCGUAGGCGGUGUGUCGCGUCGGCCGUGAAAACCUGCAGCUUAACUGUGGGCGUGCGGUCGAUACGGGCAUCACUGGAGUUCGGUAGGGGAGACUGGAAUUCCUGGUGUAGCGGUGAAAUGCGCAGAUAUCAGGAGGAACACCGGUGGCGAAGGCGGGUCUCUGGGCCGAUACUGACGCUGAGGAGCGAAAGCGUGGGGGAGCGAACAGG
rnacentral:rRNA from 1 species